rnacentral:rRNA from 1 species
CGAAAGCCUGACGGAGCAACGCCGCGUGUGGGAAGAAGGCUCUUGGGCUGUCAACCACUUUUCUCAGGGAAGAAGUCCUGACGGUACCUGAGGAAUCAGCCUCGGCUAACUCCGUGCCAGCAGCCGCGGUAAUACGGAGGAGGCAAGCGUUAUCCGGAAUUAUUGGGCGUAAAGCGUCCGCAGGGGGCGCAUCAAGUCUGCUGUUAAAGGUCGGAGCUAAACUCCGGUAGAGCAGUGGAAACUGGUGCGCUAGAGGGCGGCAGGGGCAGAAGGAAUUCCCGGUGUAGCGGUGAAAUGCGUAGAUAUCGGGAAGAACACCAGAGGCGAAAGCGCUCUACUGGGUCGCACCUGACCCUCAGGGACGAAAGCUAAGGUAGCG